rnacentral:rRNA from 1 species
GGUGAAGUUACAAAGAGCGUAUGGGGGAUGCCUUGGCACUGGAAGGCGAUGAAGGACGUGGUUACCUGCGAUAAGCCUGGGUGAGUCGGAAGCAGACUUUGACCCCGGGAUCUCCGAAUGGGAAAACCCACCGAGGGUAAUGCCUCGGUAUCGUAUACUGAAUACAUAGGUAUACGAAGCAAACCCGCUGAACUGAAACAUCUAAGUAGGCGGAGGAAGAUAAAACAAACGUGAUACCCUGAGUAGUGGCGAGCGAAACGGGUAGAGCCUAAACCAUUUGUGCUGUCAAGCGUGCAAGCGUUGGCGCAAGGGUGUUAUAGGACGGACCGGUGAUCUGCACGAUCAUCAAAGAGUAAAAAAUCAUUAUCAUAGCUAAAGUACCUGGAACGGUACACCAUAGAGGGCGAUCGUCCCGUAAGCGAAAUGGUAAUGACUCUUGUCUGUAUCCUGAGUACGACGGAAUAAGUGAAAGUCUGUCGGAAGUUGCGAGAACCAUCUCGUAAGGCUAAAUACUCUCCAGUGACCGAUAGUGAACUAGUACCGUGAGGGAAAGGCGAAAAGAACCCUUUAGAAGGGAGUGAAAUAGUACCUGAAACCGUGCGCUUACAAACGGUGGGAGCGAGCCCGGAUUUAUCCGGAGGAGUGACCGCGUGCCUUUUGUUUAAUGAGCCUACGAGUUACUCAUCCGUUGCAAGGAUAAGCAAUUAUGUUGCGAAUCCGUAGCGAAAGCGAGUCUGAAUAGGGCGAUUCAGUAACGGGUGGUAGACGCGAAACCUUGUGAUCUAGCGAUGGCCAGGAUGAAGGCUGGGUAAAACCAACUGGAGGUCCGAACGGGUACGGGUUGAAAACUGUUCCGAUGAGCUGUCGUUAGGGGCGAAAGACUAAUCAAACUGGGAGAUAGCUCGUACUCCCCGAAAUGCCUUUAGGGGCAGCGUUGGAUAAGAGUCUUCCGGAGGUAGAGCACUGAUUGGGCUAGGGCCGUCACAACGGUACCAACCCCAGACAAACUCCGAAUUCCGGUAAGAUGUUUUCCAGCAGUGAGGCGGUGGGUGAUAAGAUCCAUUGCCGAGAGGGAAAGAACCCAGACCAUCAGCUAAGGUCCCCAAAUAAUAGUUAACAGAGAAAGGAUGUCUCGUUGCAUAGACAGCUAGGAUGUUGGCUUAGAAGCAGCCAUUCAUUUAAAGAGUGCGUAAUAGCUCACUAGUCAAGCGACGUGGCGCCGACAAUAAUCGGGACUAAAACUUCGUACCGAAGCUAAGGCAUCGAAAGAUGGGUAGGGGAGCAUUCUGAUCUGCUGUGAAGGUGGUGGCGCGAGCCCUGCUGGAGCGUUCAGAAGAGAAGAUGUAGGCAUAAGUAACGAGAACGCAUGUGAGAAUCAUGCGCACCGAAAAUCUAAGGUUUCCUGAGCUACGUUCAUCGUCUCAGGGUUAGCCGGGUCCUAAGUCGAGGCCGAAAGGCGUAGAUGAUGGAUAAUCAGUUAAUAUUCUGAUGCUUGUCUGUAUGAGUUUGAUGUCAAGGAGGGACCCAGAAGUGAACCACCCGCGCACGAUUGGAUGUGCGUUGAAGGUCGUAGGCGUUGAGAGGCGUAGGCAAAUCCGCGCUUUGAGCUGAAAGCUGACAGUACGGGGAGUUUCGACAAACCGAGUGGUGUCUAAUCAGGCUGGCGAGAAAAUCUUCGUGACUAUUAUACAGGCGAUCCGUACCGUAAACCGACACAGGUAGAUGGGUUGAAUAUACUAAGGUGCUCGAGUGAGCCGUGGUUAAGGAACUCGGCAAAUUGACCCUGUAACUUCGGGAUAAAGGGUGCCCUCGCAAGAGGGUCGCAGUGAAAUGGGCCAACCGACUGUUUAACAAAAACACAUCUCUAUGCCAACCCCAUUGAGGGGAUGUAUAUGGAGUGACACCUGCCCGGUGCUGGAAGGUUAAGGAAGGGGGUCAGCAGCAAUGCGAAGCUUUCGACCGAAGCCCCAGUAAACGGCGGCCGUAACUAUAACGGUCCUAAGGUAGCGAAAUUCCUUGUCGGGUAAGUUCCGACCUGCACGAAUGG